rnacentral:rRNA from 1 species
CGAUUGAACGCUGGCGGAAUGCUUUACACAUGCAAGUCGAACGGCAGCACGGGGCAACCUGGUGGCGAGUGGCGAACGGGUGAGUAAUAUAUCGGAACGUGCCCAAUCGUGGGGGAUAACGUAGCGAAAGUUACGCUAAUACCGCAUACGAUCUACGGAUGAAAGCGGGGGAUCGCAAGACCUCGCGCGAAUGGAGCGGCCGAUAUCAGAUUAGGUAGUUGGUGGGGUAAAGGCUCACCAAGCCAACGAUCUGUAGCUGGUCUGAGAGGACGACCAGCCACACUGGAACUGAGACACGGUCCAGACUCCUACGGGAGGCAGCAGUGGGGAAUUUUGGACAAUGGGCGCAAGCCUGAUCCAGCCAUUCCGCGUGCAGGAUGAAGGCCUUCGGGUUGUAAACUGCUUUUGUACGGAACGAAACGGUCUGCCCUAAUACGGCGGGCUAAUGACGGUACCGUAAGAAUAAGCACCGGCUAACUACGUG